UCUACUCCUUUCUCAUGUUGCUUCUAAUUGUCUAUGAUGUCUUACUGGUCCAUAGGUUGCUUGUUUCCCAUUUGAUGACCAUAACUGCCCUCCAAUUCAACUCAUCACAUCAUUUUGUCAAAGUGCAUAUUCAUGGUUAAAAGAAGACAUAGAAAAUGUGGUUGUUGUUCAUUGUAAAGCUGGCAUGGCAAGGACAGGAUUGAUGAUCUCUAGCCUUCUUCUAUACCUGAAGUUCUUUCCAACAGCGGAGGAAUCAAUGGACUACUACAACCAGAAAAGAUGUGUGGACGGCAAAGGACUUGUUACUCCGAGUCAGAUUGUUAUAUUUAUCAAGAUAAUUAUUACUAAUAACUAAAUUAUUAGAAAAAUCUCUCAGAAGUACAUGUGCUUUCAUAUUUGUCUUACAAGGAUCUUGACUUCUGUUUCUUCUAGAGGUAUGUCAAAUACUUUGAGCGCAUCUUACAUAUUUCAAUGGAGAUAAUCAGCCUGGGCACAGGUAGGAAAUGUAUAAUGUUUCAUGGUCUAAACUAAAUGUCAAUAUGCCAGCGGCAUUACUGACAGUUCUUUCUGUGCAGAUGCAUGCUUAGGGCAUUACAUACAGUUCUUUCUCAUUGAAGGGCAAUACCUUCACCUUUGACGAUUUCAUCGGCACUGGAAAGUAACAACACAUUGAUCAAAACAUGUCCCUCAUUUUUUGCCUUCUAUUUUUAAGCUAAUUUUAUGGUGUUUCAGGGUUCAACUCCACAAGGUUCUGACCCAUGGCUAUGAUGACACCCCUGGCCGAUACAAAGUAAACAUGGGAGAUGCACCGUGAAACCCGGCUCAUACUCCACUACGCUAAUGCUGCCAAUAAACUUGCAACAAACUUCGGACCGUCUGCGGCGCCAUAUUUAACACCCCCAGUACACCGUAUGGCUCUCCACCUUCAGGCUAACCUCCUUCAGCUACCGGAUAUCCUCCUCCCCCCUACCAUACCCACCUACAGCCUAUACUCCUACAUAUCCUCGUCCACUGCAAGGAAUAUCUUAUUACUUACCAGGCCCAUACACGGGACCAUACCCACCACCUCCUUACUAAGAUAAAGUUCCCAAGUAACAGAAGUUCUAAGCGAGAUAAAUUACAUGCUUAACUUACGAAGUAGAUGUAAAAGGUGAAAAAUAUUUUGUUGUAUAACAAAUUGUAUCACAAUUAACUAAUAGUUGACAUGCUCUGUGGUAACACACAAGGUUUCCAAUGCUUUUGGAUGAACUAAUACCUGGGUUAAUUGCACAAGUAAGUGUUGAACAUCCUCCAAGCUGUAUGAUGCACGUAACUGGCUCUUCUGAAUCAAUUUGUUCUACACACUGAUGACUGGAAUUAAAUAGAACGGAAAACAGAAGCAUGGCAACAUUUUUGAUGUAUCAAUGGAUCAGAGUUCACGUAUCUUUAUAAGAUCA